AUUAGAUACCCGUGUAGUCCUAGCCGUAAACGAUACUCGCUAGGUGUCGGCCACGGUGCGACCGUUGUCGGUGCCGUAGGGAAGCCGUGAAGCGAGCCACCUGGGAAGUACGGCCGCAAGGCUGAAACUUAAAGGAAUUGGCGGGGGAGCACCACAACGGGUGGAGCUUGCGGUUUAAUUGGAUUCAACGCCGGAAAUCUUACCGGGACCGACAGCAAUAUGAAGGCCAGGCUGAAGACUUUGCCGGAUUAGCUGAGAGGAGGUGCAU
rnacentral:rRNA from 1 species